GCUUCCAUUAAUUUCCAAAGUGCCGUGAAAUUAGAGAGAAAUGGAAAGUAAAGUACUGUGGCAUGGAUAAAAUUAAUGCGGCUGCUCCUAAGAUUUGCAGCAAACAUUUCAUGGCAGGUGACUACAAAAGGAAUUUGCAGUAUGAACUUCUCGGUAAAUGACUAGUUCGACGUUCUAAAUUUAAGAGUUCCAAGCGCUGAUUGCAGAGAUAGGGUGAAAGCGUUCGGGCAAGCGAAUCAAGUCCACAGUAAAAUCAUGACGGACAUGAACCGAACAACGCAAGACAUUUAUCUUGCAAACGAACAAAGCACAUGUCGAGCUGUUCAAAUAUUUGCAGCAGAAAUACGACACGAAGUAUACCCUUACCUACCGGUUAAAUCAGGAUUUUUGGGAAAACUUCUUUUCGGUUAUAAGAAGUACAGACGGUCUUAACGAUCAUCCUGAUCAGUUGCAACUUAAAUGCAGACUGCAACGUUAUGUUUUGGACCGCAGCGAAGGAGCUAUAUCCAAUUCGACAUCGACGAUAUUCCUGACUUGGAUCUUGUAGGUUCCGGUGACGUCGUCCUCCUCUUGGACAGAGCCUCUACCACUGGAGGAAAGUCUGAGUAUGAUGGACUCGAUAACUUGGCGGGCUUCAUUUGCCAUAAAAUGAAGAUCUUACAUUCAGAGAUUUCAGUGGGGGAAGCAACUAUAUCACCACAUUUCUUCAU